GAUGAACGCUGGCGGCGUGCCUAAUACAUGCAAGUCGAGCGAACAGACGAGGAGCUUGCUCCUCUGACGUUAGCGGCGGACGGGUGAGUAACACGUGGAUAACCUACCUAUAAGACUGGGAUAACUUCGGGAAACCGGAGCUAAUACCGGAUAAUAUAUUGAACCGCAUGGUUCAAUAGUGAAAGACGGUUUUGCUGUCACUUAUAGAUGGAUCCGCGCCGCAUUAGCUAGUUGGUAAGGUAACGGCUUACCAGGGCAACGAUGCGUAGCCGACCUGAGAGGGUGAUCGGCCACACUGGAACUGAGACACGGUCCAGACUCCUACGGGAGGCAGCAGUAGGGAAUCUUCCGCAAUGGGCGAAAGCCUGACGGAGCAACGCCGCGUGAGUGAUGAAGGUCUUCGGAUCGUAAAACUCUGUUAUUAGAGAAGAACAAAUGUGUAAGUAACUAUGCACGUCUUGACGGUACCUAAUCAGAAAGCCACGGCUAACUACGUG
rnacentral:rRNA from 1 species